rnacentral:miRNA from 1 species
AUAAAAUAUAAUAGUUUUGUUUGUGGAAACACCACGUAAAUUUAUUACUGCAAAGCUUUCAAUCCGUAAGCCCGGAUCUUCAUCUGAUACAUAUUAUUAGCACUGAUGAAGAUACAUAUUAUUAGCACUGAUGAAGAUCCGGGCUUACGGAUUGAAAGCUUUGCAGUAAUAAAUUACGUGGUGUUUCCACAAACAAAACUAUUAAAUUUAUUAUUGACGACC